CUCUUUCUCUUCCUCAGAGCCAGCUCUGCCCACGCGGCACGCGCCGGGUGCCUUCUCCUCUGCCGAUCCGCUUACUGUUCAUGGCGCUCCAAUCUUUCCCGAUACACCAUCUGGAGAUCGAGCCGCGUCCCCCGGCCCGGCCUAUAAGUAGAUCCCCUGCCCUUAUUCUUCCCGACACAGCAAGCUCGCCGUUUUUUCUCCUCUCCAUGGCCGCGCUCCGCCUCUGCCGGCCACGUUCCCCUCUCGCCUCUCCACCUAAGCCGCCGAAACCGACACGGUCGGUUUCUCCGUAGAUUCGCUCAUCCGCCGGAAUCCUUGGGCGCGGAACCGCGCCUUUCAUCGGCCACCUCGUCACCAUCUUCUUCGAAGCCGCCGCUCCACUUCGUCUCCGUCCUCGCCGCGCCUCCAGAGCCUCCCCCGCCUCGCCUAGGAGCCCCCUGCGCACCGCCGCGACUCGGCCGACUUAGUGGAGCUUCGUCCCGAAGCCUCCGCGCCCAGGAGCUCCUCCGCAUCGUCAACCUCACCGGCCGCAGCAACCUCCUCGUCGCGCUGCCGUUCGGUCCAUUCUCCGCCUCGACCAAGCGCACAGGCGAGUUCCGGUGAGGUGUAGGUCCAAGGAGAAUUGUGGGUCAUAUGCCAAGAGGUAGCCAUCCGUAGUGGGGUUACUCAGCUGUCUCAGCAUAAGCCCGCCACAACCCGAUCUCUGGAUCAGGAAGUUUAGGGUUUGGGGUUCUCCUCGUGUGACUUGGUACAGUUUGCUAAAGAGCGUCGAAUCGAGGCGAGCACCGAGUCCACUUGAACAGACUCAUCUCCGGCUGCAUUCACAAAUCGUUCCUUUUUUUGAGGGAGCAGCAAAACCGAAAAGAGCUCAUCCUCAGUUCGGAGGAAUGAAAAUUCGAAACAGAUCAGGCGCAGCCCAAUCAAAUAUGCAGGAUAACCGCACCAGCGCCAGCGCACCUGGAUGGACCGACGACAAGGUGCAGAUGGGGGAAGAAAUCCGUGAGGACAGCGUUCCUAAGAGCGACAAUGACAACGGCAACCAGAUGAACACGUCCCACGGUGCAACCUCAAGAGGUUCUGUAAAGCUUGUCUACAGCGUAAUUGCCAGCUUCGACCAAAAGAAGAAGGACAUUGUCAAGGGCAUCAGGUUCGGUGGCCUGUUGUCUUUCCCCCAACUCACAAAACUGAACCUCCAAUUCUCCAAGUGGCUGUGAACCAGAGUAGAUGAACCCACAAAGUCUAUAGUUGUUGAUAAGGCACGUGUUUACAAGUUUGGUGAGUGCGAUGUGCAUAAUGUCUUUGGCGUUCCUGCUGCUGGGCGUGACGUUAGAGAUAAGAGUCUAGAUCGGUCAGAUGCAGCCGUAAACAUUGUUAGAAGUUGUCUUGGAAUAAACAGUAAGGAAGGGACAUCACUCAAAGCUGCUGAGGCAAUUCUACUCAAAGAAUACGGUGAAACUAUGGACCAGCUAGAAAUUGAUGCAUUCAAGACAGCCUUCAUCGUCUUUGUGAUGGGGCAUCUUUUUCCGCUUACCACAGAACACAACUACUGCAGCAUUGAGUAUUGGCCAGCUCUGGUUGACCCCAAUAUGAUUGACAGCUUCAAUUCGGCAAAAUACAUAAUAGAAGAGUUGUGCAAUGCAGCUACCAUGCUCAAAUCUGAUAUUAGGAAGCAUAUAUCCGUCUCAAACAUGACCGGAUGCUCUCUGUUUCUUCAGGUAUUUUAUCUCGACAGUGUCAAACUGGGUGAACUUAAUAUACCUGACGGCACUUUCCCCAGGAUAAAAGACAUAACGAUGGAAAAGUUGAAAUUGAUGAUUGCUGCCGAUAUAUAGAAUGAAUCUGUGUUCAGUCAUCUUGCUGAUUUUGGUGCAUCCCAUCCAAAAAUCAGACAAGAGAUGAGGAGUGGAGACAAAUCACCAGCAACUGAUCAAGCUGUGGAUGAUGCUGAAUGGAAGACUGCGAAGAAGCUGUGCCAGAUGCUACAGCUCUCCAACGAUGUAGGCACAAAGCAACAUUUACCAACACUUGAAGAGACGGAAGGAAUACCUGAUGACAACCUUUUCUCUCUUUUUUGCGGAAACCUUUUCUCAGGUUAACAGCAACUUCUAUACUCAACUGGAAGCUAUAGCAAGCCAGUUUGGCAAAAACAAAUUCAACAUGCUUCCAGACGACGCUGCGUUCGACGGGUUAUGCCGUGGCGUAGGUGUAGGCAGUAGUUACAACUUAGGUCAGGUAGAGUUUGAUAGCGAUGAGCUGCGUGCAACAAAAAAACAGCGCACAGCAACCAGAGAAGACGAACUGGCCAUCAACAUCAGCUUCAUGGGCCUCCUAUUCCAAAGUGACGAUUUGCAGUGUGAGCUAUCUUUGCAAACUCCGAAUGAUAUACUGAUACACCGAGGCUGCAGCAUCCGUGCGGAUGAUGUUGACAGAGUGGAACCCAACAUGCCGGUUAACAGCACAGGAUUUGCCACGGCAGUAUCAUCUUCACAGGUGCGCCCAUCGGUGGCUCUGUAUCAAAACAACAGCUGGGCAGUUACGAGCAGCCGUGAGACUGGUGACCAUCACACUGAUGCUACGCGGUCAGUUAUUGACAGUGUACCGUCAUUGGAUCUCAGACUGGAUAUUCUGCAUAGUGGGAGUACCAUGGCCACUGUCAGCGCAAUAGAUUGUAACGCCACAGCAGCUCAGUCAAAUGAUUUGUUGAUGAAGACACCGUCAAUCGAAUCAUCAAACACAUCCCCAUCAUACUGGCACCUAGGAGAAGAAGCGAGGAAAAUUUCAUCAUCCAGGAACAAGUUGCUGCAGGACUAUUUCGCGUUUGAGAAGGACACACGGUUCACGGAUGACAUCAACCUUUGAUUAGCUGAGCCAUAUGGUUGUGCACAGGAGCAAAGCAGCAGCUAGGCAGGACGCCGUUUAGUCAGGUUGGGUAUAAGCGUGAAGCGAGGCUUGGAAAACGCUGGAGCAGGGUCGUAGCGGCUGUAGUCUUUUGUCUUGACCAUGAGGUUCCUUGCAUGGUUGCAUGGAACUGUUGCUCCCUCUUUUGCUAUGGACUAAUUUAGCAGUAGGCAUUUCAAUUCCUGCAGGAAUUUGGAAAUGUACUUGGCUUACGAACUAGGACCAGUGAUACUCAAGCUUAUAACUAUCAUUACCUAUAGGGGGGGAGCUGCAUAGGCAUACCUGAUGCAUGUGCAUCAGGGUAAAAAAAGUUUUUAAUGGUAACUAUGUGCUUAAUAAGGCUAAUGCAUCAGGUUGACUAGGAAGUGUGCAUCAGGUUCACGUCUGUUCCAGCUCCGCCCCUGUUACCUAUCAUUAACCGCAAAAGAGGCAUAUUGUCUAAAAAACUCAAAAGCGGCAUAUCGAAACUACACAUCUUUCACCUUCA